AUGCACUUCUCGGCUGCCAAUAGGAUAUUGAGAUACUUGAAGUACACUCGUACCAUGGGACUUUCUAUCAAGAAGUCUCCUUCGAUGCUACUGAGUUCUUUCUCGGAUGCAGACUGGACUGGGUGCAGUGAUGAUCGCCGAUCUACAGGAGGUUUUGUUGUUUUCCUUGGUCCCAAUCUUGUAUCUUGGAGUUCAAGGAAGCAAGCUACGGUCUCUCGUUCAAGCAUGCAGUCUGAGUAUAAGGCUCUUCCAAAUGGAACGGCGGAAUUAAUCUGGAUACAAUCAGUCCUUGGAGAACUUGGUGUUUUCUUGUCAGGACCUCCUGUCUUGUGGUGUGACAAUCUCAGAGCCACAUAUCUAUCUACAAAUCCGGUAUUUCAUGCCAGAACUAAGCAUAUAGAAGUGCACUUUCAUUUUGUUCAAGAACGCGUUGCCGCCAAGGCACUUGAUGUUCAGUUCAUCUCCUCCAAGGAACAAGUUGCUGAUAUCUUCACAAAGCCGCUUGCCGAAAUGUCAUUUGUUUCAAAUCGGUACAACCUGAAUCUUCUUGUAGGAAGUUCAGAUUGA
rnacentral:rRNA from 1 species